rnacentral:ncRNA from 1 species
UGAGUGCCAGAGAUCAGAGGGUGGGAACAAGCCACUCAGAC